GCUCUCUGGUGAGAAGUGAGGCUUUAGGGAAAGUGUAGGGAAAUCCAAAGUGUUGGAGGGAAAGCCUGAAAAGAAAUAAUGCUUAGAAAAGAGGCAGAAAGGAGAGAAGGAGAAGUUACACUUUUUCUGAAUAAUUCAGGAAAAUGGACAGGGCAGACUUAGACAUGUUACAUGGCUGUAGCCCUAAGCAACUGCACUAGAGGCUGGGAUUCUGCAAGGAAAAGUACAGUAUCUCACUAAAUGCUAGUUAUUCUGCCCAUCUCUUUAGCACGGCUUAAGGUGAGCCCACCACCACAGGACUGUUCCCUUGGCUGAGUGAAUGACAUGGCCCAGCUGGAAUGUUAGACCUCCACCUAGGCCAGACAUUCUAGACUCUUGACCAGAACUAACUCUAACAAAAACAGGGGUGCAUGUCCCCAAGGAUGCAUGUACCACUGACUGCAGUACAUCCAUGCCUCUGGACUUCAGGGUCUCAGUCUGUGAAAUGGUGCCACAAUUGCCCCUAAGCCCAUCCCACAGGGCUGCUAAGUCAGUCCUGACUGUGAAGAGAGAGUUCUGGGCAUCCUUAGAUGUUCUAGCAUCCUCCUGUGAGUAGGGGCUGCUUGGGCUUAGCUCCUGGCUUCUGUGGAGAAAAGGGAGAGAGAAAGGAGGCCUCUCAUCUGUCUUGUGGUCCCAACACAACACCUGUACCUCAGGGCCUUACCCAGCCUGCCGCUCCCCCCCCCCUUGCUCUGUCUGUCGGGGAAGCAGGUCCCCAUUGUUCUGGGCCCUUCCCCAGAUCACCUUCCUAAUCUAAGUUCUGGGGACAAUGCACAUUCCAUUCCAGGGAUUCCAUAGCCCCCACUUCUGCCCAGUCUCCUUCAGAGAGGUGGUGGGGCUGGAAGCUGUCCCUGAAGAGGUGCCAAGCUGCGUGCCUCUCCCACCUCUCCCAGCUUAGAGCCUCUGAAGUCCGUCCAGCUGGCCCUGAAGAGGGCCUGUGCUGGAUGCUGUGGCCAGGCCAAGCCUCAGUAGGGGGAUUGGGCUCCACUCACCUGGACUUGGGCCAGGAUCUUCCUCAGACAGGCUGGGCAGUUCCAUAUAGCCGCUGCUGGCUUCCACUUGGGACUUCAUUCCCUCUCUGUGAAGGAUGGUAGAGUCAGCAGAGUAUGGUCAUGAGCAAGCCAUAUGCAUUGCAGUCUGAGCCCCGGGCUGCUACUCUUGACUUUGACUCAAGUGGGCCACUGGGUUGCUUCUAGUCCCCUCUGCCAUGGAGGAUAGUGCCAGCACUUGGCUGUCAGGCGGUGUGUGGUUAGGUGAGCUGGAAAGGCCCGCUACUGCACUGCAUAGGGGUCUCCCUGAAUUCAUUGUUGAUCCCCAUAAUCCCCAGUGUGAUCAAAGGUGGAGCUUUGGAAAUAAUUAUUAAUGUCAUGGAAGUAGAGCCCUCAUGCUGGGAUUCCUGCCUUUUUAGGAAGAGACAUUGGGGCCUAGGAGGGGGCUCAUUGGGUAAAGGUGCUUGCUGUCAAGUCUGACAGCCUGAGUCCCAUCCCUGAAUCUCACAUGGCGAAGGAGAGAGAGGAAUCCUACACGUUGUCUUUUCACCUCCAGACGCCUGCCAUGGCAUGCUGUCCCACCUCCCCUACAUACAUGCAGCACACACUCUACACACAAAAAAUAAAUAGGAAGUGUAAAAAAUAAAAAAAAAAAAAAUGAGAAGAAAUGAGAAAGCCCAUUUCCUUUGUUUUCACCAUGUGGUGGCACUGCAGGCAGACAGGCUAACCAUGGGCCAGAGGGGUAGCCCUCGGUGACCACGCAUCUGUUUGGGCCUUGACCUGGGACUUCUAGCCAGAAUGGAGAAAGAAGACCGUUGGUCCUAAGUGUUGUAGCAUACACCUGUAAUCUCUGCUCUGGUGGCAGAGGCAGGAGGAUUGCUGCAAUUGAGGUCAGCCUGGUCUACAUAGUUAUAGGCCUGCCAGGGCUACAUAGGGAGGCCCUGUCUCAAAACACCAAAACAAAACAAACAAAACUCCCAAACAAAAACCAAAAGAAAACCACACAACAACAGCAAAGCCCCACCAAACAGCAAGUGCAUUGGCUAACUACCCCUUUUACUGGAAUCAUGUUAGAGGGUCCAAACCCAGAACCACAGAGAAGUCAGGGCCUGCCACCCACCUCAGGUCACCUGUGUCACAAGCUGUCUUGUCACAUACGCCAGGUCUGAAGCCCCUGGGAGGCAGGAUCUGAGCUGCUCUGUCUUCAAUCCCUUCCCACCCAGGACAGGCAUUGGUUUUACUGCUAAGCAGAGGGCUGGAUGAUGGAAGGCAGGUUGGUGGGUUGAUGAGGUUCUCCACCUGCCUGGGGGCCCCUGGGCAGCUCUCCUGGGCCUGGAACCCCCUGCUUCAUCUUCUCAGGGAGGAGGCAAUGACCUCUCCUCCCCUACCAGCUCUGAUUGUGCAGUCCCUGAGACGAUGAGAGCAGUCUGAUCCCCCUUUCUUCUCAGCUUAUCCUACAUGGUCCUCUCAGAAUCUCCCUGUCAGAAAGCUCUCCUAUGAGAGAGCUCCUAAUUUCAUAAAAUUAGUUCAUUUCUACUUCUUAACUGUAAUUUUGCUACUGCUAUUAAUCAUAAUGUAAAUAUCUGAUAAGCAGAUAUCUGAUAUGCAAACCCAAAGGGGUCUCGACCCACAGGAUGAGAACUGCUGUCCUAGGUGGGAGACGUCUCUCAACAGCACCAGGGGAUGGGCAUAGCCAGUUCGUUUGUCAUACUUGCUCAGCACCUGCCUGCAUUGCUUCACAGGGAAAGGCUCUGGUCUCCCUCCAUGGCAAGUUUCCCUUGGAGCCCUUUCCUAGGGCUGUCUGUUCCCCAUGAGCACAACUUGCUCAUUUCCUUCUGAAAACAACAAGACUUCCUGGCUUUGCAGAGAACCACCGGGUGAAAUGGGCCAUGGUCCGAGAGAAGUCUCUGUACCCUAACCCUGGCUUUGCCAAGAUGGCCCCUCCCUAGCACAUACCAUCCUCUGGAAAGCCUCCAUGGGGUCUUGAGAAGAGGCAGGAAGUAUGGCAUUCAGUCAACUUCACCUGCUCCUCAGCUUCAUCUUCUGGGCUGUCAGCACUGGUGAAAAGGAGCACGCCCAGUCUUUACUUCAAGGCCUGGAGAAGAGAAGCCAGGGGCUGUCUCUCCCGAUUGGGUCUAAGUCCUGAUUGGGCCAACCCAAGGCUGAGUGUCCCAGUGAGGAUCCCCAGACCUUGGCAUUGGAUGUAGAGAGGACAGGGCUGUGAGUGGCUGAGGAGAGAGGUGCUUGUUGAUACAAAGCAGGCAACUGGGACAGAAAUACUCAAGCUAAGCAAGCAGUUCCUGCCAGAGACUCAAGACCUUUGCAAAC
ensembl:lncRNA